ACAUCAAAGUGACAAUCAACAAUUAUCCAUAUCACGUCACACGUUCUGUUCGAUACCAACAUAGUUGCAGAGACAUAACAAUAAAUGCAUAUAAAUACUUUUUAAAAGCAAUAGUAAUCACGUACAAAUUGAGCAAGAACUGCUGCGGAAGAGUGCUUGCUUCAUUCAAUAUUUGACGAAAGCAACAAAGGAAUAUUAAAAUUAAUAUUAAAAAAAAAAAAGAGAACAAUAGUAGAGCAGAAAACGUAAUCAAAAUGAAAAAGUAUAUCAUUACGUUCGCCAUAACGUUGUUAUUGUCGUUCGGUUUGAACAACGCACAGAAGCCACGACGCGAUGAAAAUUAUCCUCCGCCGGAUUUCUUAAAAUUCUUCAAAAUUAUUCAUGAAGUUUGUGUAGAAAAAACCGGAGCUACAGAGGAGGCCAUUAAGGAAUUUAGCGAUGGUGAAAUUCAUGAAGAUCCAGCUCUUAAAUGUUACAUGAAUUGUCUAUUUCAUGAAGUGGAUGUUGUCGACGAUGCUGGCGAACUGCAUUUCGAGAAAUUAGUACGUAUGAUACCGGAACCGUACCUUAAAAUGUUUCAACACAUUCUCGAUGCUUGUGUAUCUCAUAUACCGAAGGGUGAGACACAAUGCGAUCGCGCUUGGUCGUGGCAUGUUUGUUUCAAACAAACCGAUCCAGUGCUUUACUUUUUGCCGUAAAAACAUAAACUCGGACUUUCUCAAAUUUCAAGUGUACAUCCAUGCACGCGCUAUUACUUACUUACACUAUAAGGGCCAAGCAUUGGAGGUUAAAUCAUAGAACGAACCAUUUUUUUCAAAUAAUCAAAGCGAAAAAUUUUCUAGGAGCAAUGCACGAGCAAUGAUUGAACCCUGCUAGCAAUCGUUCUAUUGAUGAACUACAGAGAUAACCAUAAUCAUCUAGAAUCGACCAUGAAACAUGGGCCCAGCGCUGGUUCUUUCCUUGCCUUGUAUAGCGAUCGCAUGUGAAAAAACGGACUUGGAGAAUAUAGGU